GAUGAACGCUGGCGGCGUGCCUAAUACAUGCAAGUCGAGCGAACGGACGAGAAGCUUGCUUCUCUGAUGUUAGCGGCGGACGGGUGAGUAACACGUGGAUAACCUACCUAUAAGACUGGGAUAACUUCGGGAAACCGGAGCUAAUACCGGAUAAUAUUUUGAACCGCAUGGUUCAAAAGUGAAAGACGGUCUUGCUGUCACUUAUAGAUGGAUCCGCGCUGCAUUAGCUAGUUGGUAAGGUAACGGCUUACCAAGGCAACGAUGCAUAGCCGACCUGAGAGGGUGAUCGGCCACACUGGAACUGAGACACGGUCCAGACUCCUACGGGAGGCAGCAGUAGGGAAUCUUCCGCAAUGGGCGAAAGCCUGACGGAGCGACGCCGCGUGAGUGAUGAAGGUCUUCGGAUCGUAAAACUCUGUUAUUAGGGAAGAACAUAUGUGUAAGUAACUGUGCACAUCUUGACGGUACCUAAUCAGAAAGCCACGGCUAACUACGUGCCAGCAGCCGCGGUAAUACGUAGGUGGCAAGCGUUAUCCGGAAUUAUUGGGCGUAAGCGCGCGUAGCGGUUUUUUAAGUCUGAUGUGAAAGCCCACGGCUCAACCGUGGAGGGUCAUUGGAAACUGGAAAACUUGAGUGCAGAAGAGGAAAGUGGAAUUCCAUGUGUAGCGGUGAAAUGCGCAGAGAUAUGGAGGAACACCAGUGGCGAAGGCGACUUUCUGGUCUGUAACUGACGCUGAUGUGCGAAAGCGUGGGGAUCAAACAGGAUUAGAUACCCUGGUAGUCCACGCCGUAAACGAUGAGUGCUAAGUGUUAGGGGGUUUCCGCCCCUUAGUGCUGCAGCUAACGCAUUAAGCACUCCGCCUGGGGAGUACGACCGCAAGGUUGAAACUCAAAGGAAUUGACGGGGACCCGCACAAGCGGUGGAGCAUGUGGUUUAAUUCGAAGCAACGCGAAGAACCUUACCAAAUCUUGACAUCCUUUGACAACUCUAGAGAUAGAGCCUUCCCCUUCGGGGGACAAAGUGACAGGUGGUGCAUGGUUGUCGUCAGCUCGUGUCGUGAGAUGUUGGGUUAAGUCCCGCAACGAGCGCAACCCUUAAGCUUAGUUGCCAUCAUUAAGUUGGGCACUCUAAGUUGACUGCCGGUGACAAACCGGAGGAAGGUGGGGAUGACGUCAAAUCAUCAUGCCCCUUAUGAUUUGGGCUACACACGUGCUACAAUGGACAAUACAAAGGGCAGCGAAACCGCGAGGUCAAGCAAAUCCCAUAAAGUUGUUCUCAGUUCGGAUUGUAGUCUGCAACUCGACUACAUGAAGCUGGAAUCGCUAGUAAUCGUAGAUCAGCAUGCUACGGUGAAUACGUUCCCGGGUCU
rnacentral:rRNA from 1 species